rnacentral:misc_RNA from 1 species
AGAGGAAGUGGAGUUAUCUGAGGCUGGAAGUGGAAUGACAGGUGAGUAAGAUGAGGUAUGUGACUUUUGUGAAAAAGGAAAAAUAGAUUCUUUGAAUAUAACAUAUCUAGAAAUGCAAACAGAAUCAGUAUCAAUGUUAUAUAGUUUAAAAGCUUUUUGACCAGGUGGAUAUCCCAAGAAGAUGCAUUUGUGAGCUCUAGGUUCAAACUUUGACUUAUUGGGAAAAGUGUUUGUGGCAUAGCAAAGGCAACCGAAAGUUUUUAAAAAAGAAUAGUCUGGUGGUCUGCCAUUUAGAACUUCAAAAGGAGUUUUCCAAUUCAAAGUUUUUGUAGGUAAUCUAUUUAUAAGGUAUGUUGCAGUAAGAAGAG